rnacentral:rRNA from 1 species
UACGAAGGGGCUAGCGUUGCUCGGAAUCACUGGGCGUAAAGGGUGCGUAGGCGGGUCUUUAAGUCAGGGGUGAAAUCCUGGAGCUCAACUCCAGAACUGCCCUUUGAUACUGAAGAUCUUGAGUUCGGGAGAGGUGAGUGGAACUGCGAGUGUAGAGGUGAAAUUCGUAGAUAUUCGCAAGAACACCAGUGGCGAAGGCGGCUCACUGGCCCGAUACUGACGCUGAGGCACGAAAGCGUGGGGAGCAAACAGGAUUAGAAACCCGAUGAGACGUC